AUACGUAGGGUGCGAGCGUUGUCCGGAAUUACUGGGCGUAAAGAGCUCGUAGGUGGUUUGUCGCGUCGUCUGUGAAAUUCCGGGGCUUAACUCCGGGCGUGCAGGCGAUACGGGCAUAACUUGAGUACUGUAGGGGAGACUGGAAUUCCUGGUGUAGCGGUGAACUGCGCAGAUAUCAGGAGGAACACCGGUGGCGAAGGCGGGUCUCUGGGCAGUAACUGACGCUGAGGAGCGAAAGCAUGGGUAGCGAACAGGAUUAGAUACCCUGGUAGUCCAUGCCGUAAACAGUGGGCGCUAGGUGUAGGGGUCUUCCACGACUUCUGUGCCGUAGCUAACGCAUUAAGCGCCCCGCCUGGGGAGUACGGCCGCAAGGCUAAAACUCAAAUGAAUUGACGGGG
rnacentral:rRNA from 1 species